GGGCGUUGGGAGAUCUAAGGGCCCACUCCUGGCCUCACCCAGACUCCGAGCUGACUCAAACAUCUUCCAGCCUCCAGCUACUCCUCUCCCUGCCCUAUACUCUCCUCCUGCAAAGCCCCCCACGUCCUCCUCCUGGGCCACUUCCAUGUCACCAGACUUUGCUCCUGCUGUUUUCUGACUUCUCAGUCCCACCCCUCAAGGACCUAAGAUCCAAAGUCCUUUCCUGACACUGCCAUCCUCUGCAAACCGUCCUGGCCAUGUGUCCUAGUCCAUCCCAACCCGCCGAACCAUGAAGGCAUCUCCCUUACAGGGCAUGUCACCCUGUGCCCCCACAACGCUUAUGCAUCUGUCCCUCCCUCCACGCGCACCCCAUCCUGAGUGGGAGCACCGACGGGCACCGAGCACAGUGUCUGGAAGGCAUGGGCCCUCCGCAGGUCGGCAGGAUCUUGGGUGACAGAGCACAGCGCGAGGACUGGCCAGACGGGGGUCUCUGGAGAAGUAGCCGGGAACACCAAGCUCCCCCAGGUUUAUUUAUUCAGAGGGGGAGGCAGACCCCCCAACACGGUUGUCAUUCUGCGGCCCUCCACAGCUUCAGCCAGUCCCCAGCAUGGGCAGAGCCUCCAAAGGACCCGCCCUGACACCCUGACUUCAGCUCUGUCAGCUGCACUUGGGACUUCCAGCCUCCACAAGUGCUAGAGAGUAAGUGUCUGCUGCCUGCAGCCAGAAAGGAACCGACACACGGCGUCAGCUUCUCAGGUGAGGGAGACACG